rnacentral:rRNA from 1 species
GACGAACGCUGGCGGCGUGCUUAACACAUGCAAGUCGAGCGGAAAGGCCCUUUCGGGGGUACUCGAGCGGCGAACGGGUGAGUAACACGUGAGUAAUCUGCCCUUGGCUUUGGGAUAACUACCGGAAACGGUGGCUAAUACCGGAUACGACGUACUCAGGCAUCUGAUGUGCGUGGAAAGUUUUUUCGGCCAGGGAUGUGCUCGCGGCCUAUCAGCUUGUUGUGGGGUAAUGGCCUACCAAGGCUUCGACGGGUAGCCGGCCUGAGAGGGUGACCGGCCACACUGGGACUGAGACACGGCCCAGACUCCUACGGGAGGCAGCAGUGGGGAAUAUUGGACAAUGGGCGAAGCCUGAUCCAGCAACGCCGCGUGAGGGAUGACGGCC